UUUAAUGCUUUUUUAUAGGAGAAGAAAGGUUGCAUGCAUAAGGACCACAUACCAGAAUUGAAGAGACCCAGCAAGAGAAAAUUGACACCAACAGUUGAAGAUUUGGAAGAAAUUAUACGUAAGUACAUGUGGUUUUGAAAAGCCUUAAACUUUUCACUUGUGGUGAUAAAUGUAACCU
rnacentral:lncRNA from 1 species